rnacentral:rRNA from 1 species
GGAUUGGCACAUCGGUCGUGCCUUAAGGGGCAUGAACUGGUGUAGCCAAUUUCUCACCUUCUGGAGAACCGCGAUGUCCUUAAUUGGGUGCCGCGAGGAACCAGGACCUUUACUUUGAAAAAAUUAGAGUGUUUAAAGCAGGCAUUUUGCUUGAAUACAUUAGCAUGGAAUAAUAAAAUAGGACGGAUGAUUCUAUUUUGUUGGUUUCUAGGACCACCGUA